rnacentral:rRNA from 1 species
CACGUAGGGCGCAAGCGUUGUCCGGAAUUAUUGGGCGUAAAGAGCUCGUAGGCGGUCUGUUGCGUCCGCUGUGAAAACUCGGGGCUUAACCCCGAGCCUGCGGUGGAUACGGGCAGACUAGAGGUAGGUAGGGGAGAAUGGAAUUCCCGGUGUAGCGGUGAAAUGCGCAGAUAUCGGGAGGAACACCGGUGGCGAAGGCGGUUCUCUGAGCCUUACCUGACGCUGAGGAGCGAAAGCGUGGGGAGCGAACAGG